rnacentral:rRNA from 1 species
UUUAUGGAGAGUUUGAUCCUGGCUCAGAGUGAACGCUGGCGGCGUGCCUAAUACAUGCAAGUCGAACGAUGAAGCUUCUAGCUUGCUAGAAGUGGAUUAGUGGCGCACGGGUGAGUAAGGUAUAGUUAAUCUGCCCUACACAAGAGGACAACAGUUGGAAACGACUGCUAAUACUCUAUACUCCUGCUUAACACAAGUUGAGUAGGG